rnacentral:rRNA from 1 species
UACGUAGGGUGCAAGCGUUGUCCGGAAUUAUUGGGCGUAAAGAGCUCGUAGGCGGUUUGUCGCGUCUGCUGUGAAAACCCGAGGCUCAACCUCGGGCCUGCAGUGGGUACGGGCAGACUAGAGUCCGGUAGAGGAGCACGGAAUUCCUGGUGUAGCGGUGAAAUGCGCAGAUAUCAGGAGGAACACCAAUGGCGAAGGCAGCACUCUGGGACGUGACUGGACGCUGAGACGCGAAAGCCGUGGGGAGCAAACAGG